rfam:Trichosporon asahii var. asahii CBS 8904 unplaced genomic scaffold scaffold00066, whole genome shotgun sequence.
GAGGAUGUGGCUCAGCGGUAGAAGCGGCAGAUUGCAAUUCAAGCAAUUAUCUGUAGGUCCCCGGUUCGAUCCCGGGCAUUCUCU